rnacentral:rRNA from 1 species
UUAAGCAUAUCAAUAAGCGGAGGAAAAGAAACCAMCAGGGAUUGCCCUAGUAACGGCGAGUGAAGCGGCAAAAGCUCAAAUUUGAAAUCUGGCUUCGGCCCGAGUUGUAAUUUGUAGAGGAUGUUUCGGGCACCGCCCCGGCGUAAGUCCCUUGGAACAGGGCGUCAUAGAGGGUGAGAAUCCCGUCUGGCGUCGUGGUAGGGCCCAUGUGAAACUCCUUCGACGAGUCGAGUUGUUUGGGAAUGCAGCUCAAAAUGGGUGGUAAAUUUCAUCUAAAGCUAAAUACUGGCCAGAGACCGAUAGCGCACAAGUAGAGUGAUCGAAAGAUGAAAAGCACUUUGAAAAGAGAGUUAAACAGUAUGUGAAAUUGUUGAAAGGGAAGCGCUUACAACCAGACUUGAGCCCGUCGGUUCCCCCUCGCUUCUGCGUGGGCUACUCCGGCGGGUCCAGGCCAACAUCGGUUCGGGUGGCUGGUCAAAGGCCCCGGGAAUGUACCUCACCUUCGGGUUAGGCUUAUAGCCCGGGGUGUCAUGCGGCCUACCUGGACCGAGGAACGCGCUUCGGCUCGGAUGUUGGCGUAAUGGUUGUCAGCGACCCGUCUUGAAACACGGACCAAGGAGUCGAAGAGCUAUGCGAGUGUUUGGGUGUCAAACCCGUACGCGUAAUGAAAGUGAACGGAGGUAGGAAGCUUCGGCUGCACUAUCGACCGAUCCUGAUGUUCUCGGAUGGAUUUGAGUAAGAGCAUAACUCUCCGGACCCGAAAGAUGGUGAACUAUGCCUGAAUAGGGUGAAGCCAGAGGAAACUCUGGUGGAGGCUCGCAGCGGUUCUGACGUGCAAAUCGAUCGUCAAAUUUGGGUAUAGGGGCGAAAGACUAAUCGAACCAAAAAUCUGGUAGCUGGUUCCUGCCGAAGUUUCCCUCAGGAUAGCAGUAACGUUUUCAGUUUUAUGAGGUAAAGCGAAUGAUUAGAGGCCUUGGGGUUGAAACAACCUUAACCUAUUCUCAAACUUUAAAUAUGUAAGAAGUCCUUGUUACUUAGUUGAACGUGGACAUUUGAAUGUAUCGUUACUAGUGGGCCAUUUUUGGUAAGCAGAACUGGCGAUGCGGGAUGAACCGAACGUGAGGUUAAGGUGCCGGACUGCACGCUCAUCAGACACCACAAAAGGUGUCAAUGCAUCUAGACAGCCGGACGGUGGCCAUGGAAGUCGGAAUCCGCUUAGGAGUGUGUAACAACUCACCGGCCGAAUGCAUUGGCCCUGAAAAUGGAUGGCGCUUAAGCGUGCGACCUAUACCUCGCCGUCAGGGUUGACAUGAUGCCCUGACGAGUAGGCAGGCGUGGAGGUUUGUGACGAAGCCUUGGGGGUGACCCCGGGUCGAACAACCUCUAG